CGGCUAUGGAUAGUUUUGUUUCGCCAGCAUACAAUAUAAUUGCAGUUGAAGGCACAUCCUUCAGAAGUUCUAUGUACUUUAUUCUAACAACGAACAUUUGUUGAUAGGGAAUAUAAGUAAGGGGAAAGAAACUAUUUUUUUGUUCUUAAAAGGUAUUUUCGUUGUUCUAAAUUUAUAUCGGAGCACUCCCGCUUUGGAUAAAUAGGUUUCAUGCUAAAACAAAUAUUCUUACAGAUAUUUACACGGUGUGGUGGGGUGCUUUUAUGUUUAAAAUCGUUAUAUAAAGGUCAGACUGUGAUUUUAGAAACAGAUGUUGAUAUCUUUUU
rnacentral:lncRNA from 1 species